GAUGAAGAACGUAGCGAAGUGCGAUAAGUAAUGUGAAUUGCAGAAUUCAGUGAAUCAUCGAAUCUUUGAACGCACCUUGCGCCUUUUGGUAUUCCGAAAGGCACACCUGUUUGAGCGUCAUGAAUACCUCAAUCUCCAUCUUUUCUUCGGAUUGAUGGGUGACUUGGAUGUUGAGCCCUGCUGGUAUGCUAUAUCAGCUGGCUUUAAACUUAUUAGCCGGCUCUGUACUGGAUCGGUUUGACUCGACGUGAUAAUAUUAUCGUUGAGGAUGCAUGUCUCAUGCAGCCGGAAAGUAUCAAAGCAGCUUCUAGCUUGCCUUUAGUGCACUUUUACAUUUUAGACCUCAGAUCAGGUGGGACUACCCGCUGAACUUAAGCAUAUCAAUAAGCGGAGGA
rnacentral:misc_RNA from 1 species